AUAAUUAAAUGAGUUUUCAGUCCAUCUACAGGAAUUUCUAAAAUAAAAUCAUAGUUGCAGUCAAAUAAAUAUAAUUUUACGUGGCUGUGAAAUAGUAAAGCAUACAGCUUGAAUUGCAGGCUCUACAUUUGAACAUUCAAGAUUCUAGAUUUCAUACAUAACUUUAUAACCAUUCCACUUCACAGAAACCCUUCAGAAAGGAAAACUGUUGAAGACUCUUAAGUUUUUACAAUGCUUUCCUUUCAUGUGGGAGCCAUAUGUGUGCAGGAUGCUAUGGUGCCAGGUGUUUUAUCAUCUCAUAUCAUGGCAAGAAGAGAAAGGGCUUUUAUAACAGAAUACCAUAGACUGGGGAACUUAUA